GCGCGUCAUAGGUUUUAGUUAUUUGUAAACACUCAACGUCACAAACUAAUAUAUCCUCCGGUCAAAACUGAUGUUUUUAUUGCGUUCCGAAAACUCACAAUAGGCAGCAGGUAUGUAAUAUAGUUGUAUUUAUUUUCUAUUCCGUUCGUUUUAUUUGAUUUUAUUCUGGUGAUGGGACGCGACUUGUGUUCGCACUUCACUUUAUUUACUACAUAAUACCACGACGCGUUCUUUUUCAUCACGGUAGUUAUUAAUUUGGUUUGUCCUUA